AUAAUUUCUUUUUAAACAGAAGACGAAAAUAGUGGAACUGUCUUUGAUAAUAUUGCUAGCGACAUUAAUGGACUAUUUGGUUAAAGAAAAAAAAUAUGCAAGAUGACACUGCGAAAAAGGAUGUAUAAUAUUUUCCGAUCUUAAAAUAAAGUUUAUUGUUGCAUUCAAA